CAAUCAAUCCCCCCUACACUCCAUCUUCUCUCUCACUCUACCCCUCAUUCUCUUUCACACUCUUCAUCACCACCACUCCAUUUCUCUCUUCAUUUCUCCAUACUCACGAAAUUUUCCAGAGAAUAAGUCCAAGAACACACCUCAUACUCAAAAUCUUCAUCAUCUAAUGGUGUUCAUUAAGGAAAACGAUAGUAGUACCAGUGGAGCGUAGAUCAAUGCAUCAUUUGCAUCAUCUCAAUGCAUAUUGAAUUAUCGAGUAAGUGGCACUUAGGGACACUUCACUUUUAGGAGCAUUCGCAUGUGUUGUAUUUAUAUUUUCAUUGUAAUUUCUUGUAAAAGUUGUUCAAACCCAUUGUAAGUUUGUAAUGAUUUUUAAUACUAUGGUUGGUGUUGUCUUUUAACUUUUGCUAUGAAACCCUUUAUAUUGCCACGCCUCGUGUUUCCGCUUUAGCGGGGUGUGACAGUAAGCCAUUAGAGGAGUGACAAUUGUGACUCUAAAGCCUCAAGGACAACAAGAUCAAGCAAGUGAUUCAAGGUAAACUUCUAAUCUCUGAUUUCAUAUUGUUGUUAUUGUAUAUUAGCCAUUAGAAGUCUUGGAUUCAAUGUACGUUCAAUUAGAGAAACCUAGAUCCAAGCAUUAGGGUUGCAUGUGCACAUAGGAAUGUUCAUAUGGCUUAAACCCAUCAGUGGUAUCAGAGCCAAGAUUGGUUUCUAUUGAAUUAAUACUUUGAUUGCUUGUUUGUUACUAAAAAAUUCGUUUUUUUGUUCUCUGCCUGCUCAACUCGACGUGUCCCAUGGUGGUUCUCGGCGAGUAGGCUCAACUCGGCGAGUCCAUCUGGGAACUCGGCGAGUUCGAGCGUCA